ACCCUUUUUCUUUACAUUUCUGUUCUCAUUUCUCUGACUCGUGUCGGUUCAGCGAUCUAAUUAUUCUCAACUCCGGCGACUAUGGCGGAGCAACACCGCAAGACGGUGCUUGAUUCAGGGUGGCUGGCAGCCAGGUCCACCGAAGUCCAAUUCACUGGAAUCCAACUCACCACUACUCACCCGCCUACUUCCCCCACUUCACCAUGGAUGCAAGCUCUCGUCCCUGGAACGUAAUCUCUCUCUCUCUCUCUCUUGAUUGUGACAAACAUAGCAUUAUUAGCUUUUAAUUACUAUCCAUUCAUGCAUUUCCUUUCAUUCUUGUCUUUGUGGUAGUUUACUAUCUAUUGAAUUGACAAUGUUAUGGGGACCUUAGCGAAGAACAAAGUGGUGCCUGAUCCCUUUUAUGGACUUCAAAAUGAAGACAUUGUAGAUAUUGCUGAUUCUAGAAGAGAUUAUUAUACCUUCUAGUUUUUUACCACCUUUAACUGUAAGCUGUCUAUCAAUCAACACUGUGAUCUGAACUUUCGUGGAAUCAAUUACUAUGCUAAUGUGUAUUUGAAUGGGCACAAAAUCACAUUGCCAAAAGGAAUGUUUCGAAGGCAUGUAGUUGAUGUCACCGAUAUUCUUCACCCUGAUGGCAGUAAUCUUCUAUCUGUUCUUGUUCACCCUCCCGAUCAUCCUGGGAGAAUUCCUCCUGAAGGGGGACAGGGUGGUGAUCAUGAGAUAGGCAAGGAUGUUGCCACACAAUAUGUGGAAGGCUGGGAUUGGAUAGCUCCAAUAAGCCAGUAAAAAUAAUUGAUCCGCACUUGGUGUCAUCAUUUUUUAACAAUUAUGAAAGAGCUUAUCUACACACAACUAUUGAGUUGGAAAAUAAGAGUUCCUGGACUGCUGAGUGUUCUUUGAGUAUCCAAGUGAUCAUGGAACUUGAGGAUAACAUUUGCCUAGUGAAGCAUGUGGAAACUCAAUAUCUCUCAGUUCCAGCAAAUUCAAGGGUGUAGUAUAACAUUUCCUGAGGUGCCAUGGACAUAUUUCGGCUCUUACCAGCAGAUCUGCUCCAAAAACCAACAUUCAUUUGUUUCCAGUUGUCCUUUAUCUUCGUAGCAGUUCAAUAUUUAAACACAAAGUGGUUACAAUUCACGUCCUACGGCAGCUGGCCAGUCUAAUUAAACUCAUUGAGACACUGUUUCAGCUUGACAAUAUUUAAUGAGGACAACCAUACUGGUUUCGAGAUCACAAAAGUUCAGAAGAUUAUGCUGUAUGGUUCAACGAUUCUAGCAAAGGGAUAGGCCAGUAAAUGGACUUAAUGGAAGGAGCAAAUCAGAUAUCACCUCAAAAACCAGAGCAUCCCCUGGAAGCAGAAUGGUAGCUACUAAAAGCAAAUAUGCAAAGGAAAAAGAAAGUAGAAAGCGAAUGGAGGAAAGAAUUGCGGAAAGAAGUGCUUCUAAGAAGACUACUUCAAUAGACACCAAUAUUACUUCCAAGAACAAGCCUAAGAUUCAUCCAUCCAAUAAAAAGACUAGGAAAUCACAAAACUGGUCCUCGAAACUCCACAAUUGAGUAGUAAGUCAGAAAGUUUCAAAAGCAGUUCCUACCAAGAAACCAUCCUUGAAGGCAAAUGCAGUUCCUUUGGAAAAGAAGAAACAAGGUGUGUGAAAGAGGUGAAAUCUUCAAAGGUGAAAAACAUUGACUAAGCUAUCAAUUCCUUGAAGAGUGGCCAAAGAUUUAUAGUUUUGGAUUCUUUAGUAUAUUCAUGAUUCAUGAUUUUUCUUUUUCAUUUACUUUUAAAUUUUUAGAUCAAUUGCUAAAAACGAAAGUUAGUAGGCUACUUUUAAAGGUACAAUUUUAGAUCAUUGCUAA